UGCCCGUUCUUCUUCCCUGUGUCAUGUACUCUACCAGUUUUUAGAUUUAAAGUUUUCUAUUGUACCAAAAAAAGAUUUCAAGUUUUUUUCAUAUUUUCUCCAAUCUUAGGUAUGCAGAUGAUAUAGCUCUUUUAAUCGAAUCAAGUUCUAAAUAUAAUAGGAUAAAGAUAUGCAACUAAUUCUAAAUAAUGGUAAAACCAAAGAAAACAGAGGUGGAAGUAGACA
rnacentral:lncRNA from 1 species